AGUGGUAUCAAAGGAGAGUCGAACGAUACAAAAUCUGCGCGCGAAAAAUUGUGGUUUCGAGAUUGCUCCGAUGAGAAAUGCGAUGAGAUUAGGGUUUGAAAUUAUCGGUGGCUCACGAAUCCGACAUCCAAGCAAUCAGGUGCAUCUGCAGCUUGCAUUAGCUUUUUGCUCGUGGAGAUUAAAUGAAAUUUACGGGUAAAGCCUAUGAGCACUAUGAUUCAGAAAUGGACCAACUUGAAGGAUAAGGAACCAAAACCGCGUGCCAGCCUCAUGCUAAGUUCAAUCUGAGCCGUUUACUGGUUUUCCAUCCAGGUUCAUUUCUAUCUUACUGUUCAUUUAUUUCAUUUACAUACAAUUUUUUUAUAAUGUUUUCUUUUUGUUUGCUAUUCUCUGCCCUUUUUGUUGAACAAUAUAUAAAAAUAGACAUGAUUACUUUUAAUUGUUAAUUACUAAAAGUUUUUUUUUUUUCUUUUCAAAAUGGAGU